UAACCAUGAUGUGGACAAGUAAGUAGAAUGUCUUUGAAGCUCUCCCAAGCUUAGAAAAAUAAUUCAUUCCCCUUUUGGAAGAAAAACAUGAUUUCCUAUUUAAGUGC